GGCCCCGUAGCUCAACGGCAGAGCAGUUGACUCUUAAUCAAUUGGUUAUAGGUUCAAAUCCUAUCGGGGUCA
rnacentral:tRNA from 1 species